GCAUGCUUAACACAUGCAAGUCGAACGGCAGCGCGAUGAAGCUUGCUUCAUUGGCGGCGAGUGGCGGACGGGUGAGUAAUGCAUAGGAAUCUGCCUUUAAGUGGGGGAUAACCCGAGGAAACUCGGGCUAAUACCGCAUAAUCUCUACGGAGCAAAGCUGGGGACCUUCGGGCCUGGCGCUUAAAGAUGAGCCUAUGUCGGAUUAGCUAGUUGGUGGGGUAAAGGCCUACCAAGGCGACGAUCCGUAGCUGGUCUGAGAGGAUGACCAGCCACACUGGGACUGAGACACGGCCCAGACUCCUACGGGAGGCAGCAGUGGGGAAUAUUGGACAAUGGGCGAAAGCCUGAUCCAGCAAUGCCGCGUGUGUGAAGAAGGCCUUCGGGUUGUAAAGCACUUUCAGCGGGGAGGAAAGCCUUUGGGUUAAUAACCCAGAGGGGUGACGUUACCUGCAGAAGAAGCACCGGCUAACUCUGUGCCAGCAGCCGCGGUAAUACAGAGGGUGCAAGCGUUAAUCGGAAUUACUGGGCGUAAAGCGCUCGUAGGCGGAUACCUAAGUCGAUUGUGAAAGCCCUGGGCUUAACCUGGGAACUGCAGUCGAUACUGGGUGUCUAGAGUAUGAUAGAGGAUAGUGGAAUUCCCGGUGUAGCAGUGAAAUGCGUAGAUAUCGGGAGGA
rnacentral:rRNA from 1 species